rnacentral:rRNA from 1 species
GUGGGGAAUUUUGGACAAUGGGGGCAACCCUGAUCCAGCAAUGCCGCGUGCAGGAAGAAGGCCUUCGGGUUGUAAACUGCUUUUGUACGGAACGAAAAGGCUCUGGUUAAUACCUGGGGCACAUGACGGUACCGUAAGAAUAAGCACCGGCUAACUACGUGCCAGCAGCCGCGGUAAUACGUAGGGUGCAAGCGUUAAUCGGAAUUACUGGGCGUAAAGCGUGCGCAGGCGGUUAUAUAAGACAGAUGUGAAAUCCCCGGGCUCAACCUGGGAACUGCAUUUGUGACUGUAUAGCUAGAGUACGGUAGAGGGGGAUGGAAUUCCGCGUGUAGCAGUGAAAUGCGUAGAUAUGCGGAGGAACACCGAUGGCGAAGGCAAUCCCCUGGACCUGUACUGACGCUCAUGCACGAAAGCGUGGGGAGCAAACAGGAUUAGAAACCCUUGUAGUCC